GAUGAACGCUGGCGGCGUGCCUAAUACAUGCAAGUCGAGCGAACAGACGAGGAUCUUGCUCUUCUGACGUUAGCGACGGACGGGUGAGUAACACGUAAAUAACCUACCUAUAAGACUUGGAUAACUUCAGGAAACCGGAGCUAAGACCGGGUAAUAUAUUUGACCGCAUGGUUCAGGAGUGAAAGACGGGUUUGCUGUCGCUUCUAGGUGUAUCCGCGCGGCAGUAGCGAGGUGGUUAGGUAACGGCUUACCAAGGCGACGGUGCGUAGCCGACCUGAGCGGGUGAACGGGCCCACUGGGAGUGAGACGCGGCCCAGACACCGACGGGAGGCAGAAGUAGGGACUCUUGCGCAAAGGGCGAAAUACUGACGGAGCAAUGCCGCGUGGGUGCUGAAGCUCUGCGGAUCGUAAAACUCUGUUAGUAGGGAAGACCAAAUGCGUAAGUAACGAUGCACGUUUUGACGGUACCUAAUCAGAAAGCAACGGCUAACUACGUG
rnacentral:rRNA from 1 species